AGCGAAAUUCCUUGGCGUUUAAUUGGCGCCCUUGCAUGAAUGGCUGAACGACUGUCGGGCUGUCUCUAACAUGGAAUCUGUGAAUUUGAAAUCUUCGUGCAGAUGCGAAGACGCUGGCAAGGGACGAAGAGACCCUAUGCAGCUUAGCUGGGUGCUAGAAGUUGGUUGUGGAGAGAUGUAGUGAGUUGUUACACUAACAGGCUUACACCCUGGAUACCCACAUACACACUAACAUGUACUUCGACGCUCAAGCUUCUCUGGGACGGAGUCCUCCUGAAUAGUAACGGGGGAAACCAAACAGUACUGCCAAAACCCAAAUGGCAAGCAGUGCUUGACUGCAAGAACCACAAUUCGAGCAGGGACGAAAGUCGGGAUUACAGACCCGGGGUACCUAAUUUUUUA
rnacentral:rRNA from 1 species